rnacentral:tRNA from 1 species
AUUAGCUCAGCUGGUUAGAGCGUCGGAUUGUGGUUCCGAAGGUCAAGGGUUCGAAACCCUUAU